GACUUCCAAGGCAACAAGGAAUGUGAUUCAGUGUCCUAAGGAGUUGGAUGUCCUGGCUGGAGGGACAUUAGACAUCUCAUGGUUGAAUUUUCCUAUUGUUCAGUAACUGUGCGAUUUCCCUCCCUCCUUGCCGACUUUUAUGGAAAUGAUCUUCCUGCUGCCUGAAGUGUGUCACUCUGCAUCUUGCCAAGAAGAAAACCUCUCCAUAGAGAAAAUGACCCAUCUCUUCCCCUCUGCAACCAUCUGACUUAAUUAUGCACUGCGCUUGGCCCCUGGAGAGCCCAGCGAAGAACACGAGGAAGUCCUGGCUUGAUCGCCAAGCCCUAGGGUCUUUGUCAAUUAUCAUCUGGCACCCACGAGUCUGGCCAAAUUUACAGGCAUGUCUGUCUCUCAAAACAUGUCAGGCCUGAAGAGUGAUUCACUUUUUUUUUUUUGGAGCCGCUAUAAGUAGAACAAUCUUUUCCAUUAAAACUCACUUUACUGUCUUCUCAACACCCCAGAGCCUCUUGAACACACCUUCCACUCCACGUGUGAUGCCUGGGAGACUGCAGUUGAAUAACAUUACUCCUUUCCCAGGACUCAUGGCAUCUAUGGAGGCGUUGCCGUCUAGAGGAAAGGACACGGGCUUCGCAGAGCCAGCGACUUGGAGCUGCUGCGGAGGAGAUGGGGCUGGUGAGCCCUCCAAGUCAGGAUUCUUGGGCUGUUGGCUUACUCUCAGCACCGCAUGUAGCUGCCUGUAUCUUGGGAAGACUCUGGGAAUUGGAAGAUGGCAGCCAAACAAUGCUCUAAAUGGGUUCAAAUAUCCAAAAAAAUAUAUAUUAUUACAUCGAUCAGGAAUUCUGUUCAAAUUUGACGUCAAAUAUCUGUUUUUGAUGCAUUUCCCCACGGAAAAAAGAGUUGAGUCGUUUGUCUUGAUUUUUGUACAUCCCACAGAGGCCACUUCUUCCUGCCUCAUUAAAUAAUCUUUGCUAAAAUUUGCAACUGGCCCAGACACAAGAUGGUGACAGCAAAAGAGCAUAGGUUUUGGUGUCAGAGGAACUAGAUUUUAACUCCAGCUCUGCCACUUACUGGCUGUGUGACUCUAAACAACCUACUAAACCACUCUGAGGCUUAGUUCUUUUCUCUUCAAGGUAGGGAUGAUAAUACCUACUUUUCUAGCUUGUUGUGAGGUUUAAAUUGUUUGCUGUCCAUAACGCAUAGUGUCUGGCCCACAAUAAAUCCUCAGCAUGUGUUUGGAGGGGCUGAGGA
rnacentral:lncRNA from 1 species